rnacentral:rRNA from 1 species
GAGUUUGAUCGUGGCUCAGGACGAACGCUGGCGGCGUGCUUAACACAUGCAAGUCAAGGGGGCCCAGCAAUGGGCAACCGGCGAACGGGUGCGUAACACGUGAGCAACCUACCGAAAUGCGGGGGAUAGCCGGCCUAACGGCCGAGUAAUACCGCAUACGCUCUUUAUGAGGCAUUUCAUGGAGAGGAAACCUACGGGGUAUUUCGAGGGGCUCGCGGCCUAUCAGCUAGUUGGCGAGGUAACGGCUCACCAAGGCAACGACGGGUAGCUGGCCUGAGAGGAUGGCCAGCCACAUUGGGACUGAGAUACGGCCCAGACUCCUACGGGGAGCAGCAGUGGGAAUCUUGCGCAAUGGCCUAACGGCUGACGCAGCGACGCCGCGUGUGGGAUGAAGCUCCUCGGAGUGUAAACCACUGUUGCCCGGGACGAAUAGCUCGAUUAAUCGAGCCUGACGGUACCGGGUGAGGAAGCACCGGCUAACUCCGUGCCAGCAGCCGCCGUAAU